CGGCGGGUGAGUAAUGUCUGGGAAACUGCCCGAUGGAGGGGGAUAACUACUGGAAACGGUAGCUAAUACCGCAUAACGUCGCAAGACCAAAGAGGGGGACCUUCGGGCCUCUUGCCAUCGGAUGUGCCCAGAUGGGAUUAGCUAGUAGGUGGGGUAACGGCUCACCUAGGCGACGAUCCCUAGCUGGUCUGAGAGGAUGACCAGCCACACUGGAACUGAGACACGGUCCAG
rnacentral:rRNA from 1 species